GAUGAACGCUGGCGGCGUGCCUAAUACAUGCAAGUCGAGCGAACGGACGAGAAGCUUGCUUCUCUGAUGUUAGCGGCGGACGGGUGAGUAACACGUGGAUAACCUACCUAUAAGACUGGGAUAACUUCGGGAAACCGGAGCUAAUACCGGAUAAUAUUUUGAACCGCAUGGUUCAAAAGUGAAAGACGGUCUUGCUGUCACUUAUAGAUGGAUCCGCGCUGCAUUAGCUAGUUGGUAAGGUAACGGCUUACCAAGGCAACGAUGCAUAGCCGACCUGAGAGGGUGAUCGGCCACACUGGAACUGAGACACGGUCCAGACUCCUACGGGAGGCAGCAGUAGGGAAUCUUCCGCAAUGGGCGAAAGCCUGACGGAGCAACGCCGCGUGAGUGAUGAAGGUCUUCGGAUCGUAAAACUCUGUUAUUAGGGAAGAACAUAUGUGUAAAUAACUGUGCACAUCUUGACGGUACCUAAUCAGAAAACCACGGCUAACUACGU
rnacentral:rRNA from 1 species